rnacentral:misc_RNA from 1 species
AGAGUCAGAGUCAUCAGACUCGCUUUCAGAACUGCCAUUCCCAUUGCUCUUUUUUGACGUCUGCACUUUCGAAACAGCUUUGGUUGCUUUUGUGGUUGUGCCCUCAUCCUCAUCUGACGAUUCAUCAGAAUCGCUAUCAUCAGAAUCAUCACUUGAUUGAGCUUUGUUAUUUGUAGCUGUUAAAGCAACCUUCUUAGUAGCAGGGGCCUUUUCCUCAUCAGAAUCACUCUCCUCAGAACUCUCACUUUCAUCAGAACUACUACUCGAUUUAGCCUUCUUAUUGGUAACACCCUGGGGAACAAUCUUGGGAGCUGAAGCCUUUGCAGGUAACUCCUCAUCUGAGGAGCUAUCAGAGUCCGACUCAGAGCUUGCAGCAGAUGCCUUUUUAGUGCCAGUUUGUGGCAACUUCUUCACUUGGGAGACUGCAGGAGGCUUUUUCUCAUCCUCAUCAGAUUCAGAAUCUGAAGAUUCUGAACUGCUACUUUCCGCCUUGCCUUUCUUAGGAGCACUGACUAACCCAUUUUUGGCAUCCAGUUGCUGCUUCUUUGGAGGAAGGGCAGCUUUGGCAUGAGGCUCCUCAUCCGAAGAUGACUCAUCCUCACCGCUAGAUUCUUCAACAGGUGGUUUUGUAGCCUUCACACCCUUCUUGACUACAACUUUAACCUCUUCCUCAUCAGAUUCAUCAUCUGACGAAUCUGAACUGCUAUCCCCCUUUCUUUGUGUAGCAGGAACACCAACAGAGCCAUUUUUAGCAGCUUUGGGAGGAGCCUCCUCAUCUGAAGAUGACUCCUCACUACUAGAUUCUUCAACAGGUGAUUUUGUUUCCUUUUGUACCUUCUUUGUUACAACUUUGGCCUUCUGUUCUUCCUCAGAAGACGAGUCAUCAGAACUACUGGAUUCAUCUUUCUUCUUUUUCUGAGUCUUUACUUCAACCUUUCCCUUCUUAACAGCCUGUUUUGCCCCGUCAUCUAUCUUACGUUUCUUUGCAUUCACAAGCUUCUCUACAGCUUCUGUAAGUUCUCUCGCUUCUCUCUGACCCUUACUAGAAGACUUGGGGUCAGGGGUUACAGCAGGAGCUGCAUCAACCUUGGGGGUUGAUUUCUUGCUAGAUUUGCCCAUGAUUGAGAGAAGGUGAGAAAUAAUUUAGAUUAGAGCAAGGAGGAGGAGGAGGAAAAGAACUGCAGAGGCUCUAAAAACCCUAGUUAUGAGAUGUUUUUAGUUGUUA